UCCGAGUUGACCCCGGCAGUCUCCUAUGAGUCCCCGGCAUUAUCCGCUGGCAACAUAGGACGAGGGUUGCGCUCGUUGCGGGACUUAACCCAACAUCUCACGACACGAGCUGACGACAGCCAUGCAGCACCUGUGCUGGCGCUCCGAAGAGGGGCCGGUGUUUCCACCAGCUUUCACCAGUAUGUCAAGCCCAGGUAAGGUUCUUCGCGUUGCAUCGAAUUAAGCAACACGCUCCGCUGCUUGUGCGGGCCCCCGUCAAUUCCUUUGAGUUUCAACCUUGCGGUCGUACUUCCCAGGUGGAUUACUUAAUGCUUUCGCUCAGACACACACUGUGUAUCGCGUAUGUCGAGUAAUCAUCGUUUAGGGCGUGGACUAC
rnacentral:misc_RNA from 1 species